rnacentral:rRNA from 1 species
CGAAAGCCUGACGGAGCAAGACCGCGUGAGGGAGGAAGGCUCUUGGGUUGUAAACCUCUUUUCUCAGGGAAGAACACAAUGACGGUACCUGAGGAAUCAGCCUCGGCUAACUCCGUGCCAGCAGCCGCGGUAAUACGGAGGAUGCAAGCGUUAUCCGGAAUUAUUGGGCGUAAAGCGUCCGUAGGUGGCCGUUCAAGUCUGCCGUUAAAACCAGUAGCUUAACUACUGACAGGCGGUGGAAACUGAACAGCUAGAGUGUGGUAGGGGUAGAGGGAAUUCCUGGUGUAGCGGUGAAAUGCGUAGAGAUCAGGAAGAACACCAGUGGCGAAAGCGCCCUGCUGGACCUGCACUGACACUGAGGGACGAAAGCUAGGGGAGCG